GGAUGUUUGGCAUUAGCUGUAGGAGUGCUAUCUGUUGUCUUGAACACCUUAGAUUUUUCCAAGUUGCUAUUGCCUUUGGAACUUCUGAUCUUUCCUUGCUUGAACUGUUGCUCCUCCUUGGUGGUGGGCAUUUCUGUGGAUCACAACAUUCCAGGGGAAGGAGUGCUGUGACUAUAGAAAGCCUUCUUCCAUAUAACCACCAAUCAUACUGUGGUGGGACACGGAACAAGGCCUUCUCAGCAGCUCAGUGGGUGAUCAGGCUGCUGCUGCUGCUGUAUGCAGUCCUGUAUGUACUGCAGGCCCAAAAUGUUUAAGGCAGGUGUGAAGAACCUUUGGCCCUAAAGAUGUUGCUGAACUGUAACUCCCAUCAUCCCUGGCCAUUGGCUUUAAAGGUGAUUCCUAGCACUCUGAAUUGGGCUUGGAAUGGAAACACACUGGGACCAAUACAGCUAGACAACGGCAGAGUCACAUGCUAUGAAUAACAGCACACACAUACACACUGCCUGGCAGCAGCAGUGUACAACAGCUGUGGUUUCCAAACACUUUUCAAAGGUAGCCCCAUAUAGAGUAUGUUGCGGCUUACAGGUCAAUACAACAAACAAUAUAUACAUAGAAACACAUACAGUAUCCAUUUCAUGGCUUUGCCAACAGCUAGAAUCAACCACACAUACGCACACAUACUAAAGAAUCAGUAAAAUUAAUUAGGCCCCCAGCAUACAGACCCCAUUUUAUAACCUUAGAUAUACAUUAACUGCUACAGGCCACAGAAAAUAAAUAGGUCUUCAAGGCUCUUUUAAACAUUUUAAGGGAUGACAUGUGUGAAAAAGGAUCAACUUCUACAGCUGUGGGACUGUCACUGAGAAGUUUCUAUUAUGGGUGCCCAGCAACCUAAUUGCCUUCACAAUUGCCUAACCAGACUUUCUGGCGCUGAACUUGGGGUACAGAUAUUAUUUUACGUUCUGAAGGAGCUCAGAGUGGCAAAUAUAACCAAACAAUUAAACAAGAAAAGAAAAGCAUUCUAAAAACAGUUAAAAGAAUCAUACACAUGGAAUGGGCAUGCUUCUAUGUGUUUCACAGAUGCACAAUUAAAACCCUGCUGUUUGCAACUGAAAAGAUAGACCUGCAUUAUGGAGAAGAUACUGUGAUUGGAGCCAUGUCCCAGGGUCACUUCAACUCCUGAGAGAGAAGAUACAGGAUGCAGUGUUUGCUCUUCAUUCAGCAUACAAUAUGUACUUUUGUUGAUACCGUGUGAGAAGACAGAAAAUGUUCAUCACACACAAAUGUACAGUUUUUAGCCUGCUGGAUUGCAGAUCAAAAGGUUAAAGAGAGGAUUUAUUAAGAAUGAGUAGUGACAAUUUAAAUAAAUCAGAUGUUUUUGCCGAAGAGUACGCUGUGAUUUUCUCCAAUUAUUCCUGACAUUUCACCCAUUCAUAUCGUGAUGAGAGUUAAUAAUGCAAAGAGGGGGAAAAGACUCUUGUCUCCUUGUUUAUUCAUUGUUCUCAAGGAGCUAAGCUGUUUAUAAAGAGAAGUUAUUUGUUAUUUAAAUCACUUUUACUGAAGUUGUUUAUUUCCUUGUUUGAGUUUCUAAAAAUAUUGCUUCUAACAAUUGGAAUGCCUUUUUGAGAUGUCUGCUGUUCAGUUCAUAGUGAUGUACACUGGAAUUCUUUGUUAAAUGGGCCCAGGUGUUGAUGCAUUUAACAACCUAGAGCGAGGAGAAACCCAUAAAAGCUCCAAAAAGGACAGAGAAAACAAAAUUUAUUCUAAAAAUUUAUAAGAAGUUAUUUGAUAUCAUUAUUAAAUUACAAACAUAAAG